AUGACCAGCACACAGAGGAGUGAGAGCGCGAACCAUAUGCUAAAAAAUUAUGUGCCUCCUGGGUGCCCAAUGCACAUGUUUGUGCAGAAGUACACAAGGCUACAAUUCGACCGGGAAUCGGAGGAGAACUAUGAAGAAAAAGAAUGUGAAUUGUAA
rnacentral:rRNA from 1 species